UGUCCACCACUGAGCCUUCCGUCUC
rnacentral:piRNA from 1 species